GCUCCUGUCGCAGAUGACUUUCGCCCUUCUCUACAACGACCCUUCAUCAAUUUACAAUGAAGAAAUCAAAUAAUUCAGUGUUUUUCUACUUGGAGGGUUUUUAGUGUGACAAGAGCGAGUCAUCUGUGACAGGAUAAUGGAAG
rnacentral:pre_miRNA from 1 species